AUGUCGGGAAUAUCGCUUGCAGUGGCGCCGCGGUCUGACCCGGACAACGGGGCGGAGCGGCAGCCGUCGUCGGCGAUGCUCGGGGGCGUCAUGGGCUCGCUCCGCGUCAUCGAGCUCCAGCUCGUCGCCUUCAUCAUGGUCUUCUCGAUGUCAGGCCUCGUCCCGCUCAUCGACCUCGCCUUCCCGGUCGUCACCACCCUCUACCUCCUCGCCCUCUCCCGGCUCGCCUUCCCUUCGCUCCACAGCAAGCUCGACGACGAAGCCGCCGCCGCCCACUCCGCCGCGUCCCAGGAGAUCUUCCGCGGAAGCAAGCUGUUUCAGGUGUAUGUGGUGAUGGGCACCACGGUGGGGCUGUUCCUGCCGCUGGCGCACGUCCUGGGCGGGUUCGCGCGCGGCGACGAUGCCGCCGUGCGCUCCGCGACGCCACACCUGUUCCUGCUCUCGUGCCAGAUCCUCACGGAGAACAUCGUCGGCUCGCUCGGCGUCUUCUCGCCGCCGCUGAGGGCGCUGGUGCCGCUUCUCUACACCGUGCGGCGCGUCUUCGUCAUCGUCGACUGGGUCUACGACGUGUGGACCAACAAGCUCAUCACCCGCAGCGCCCCCGUUCAGGAUAAGGCCUGGGUGUGGUUCGGCAGGUACCUCGCAGUGGCGAACCUGGUCUACUUCUCCAUCAACCUGUUCGUCUUCCUGAUCCCCAAGUUCCUCCCCCGCGCGUUCGAGAAGUAUUUCCACACGCGCGACGAGGUGUACGCCAAGACGGCGGAGGACAAGCGGGCGAGGGAUCUGUCCUCGCUCGAUGAUGACGGUGCGGCAAAAUCGGAAGUCUCCAAGAAGGCCGACUGA
rnacentral:rRNA from 1 species